ACCUGGCUGGCUCAGUCAGUGGAGCAAGUGACUCUUAAUCUCAGGGUUGUGGGUGUGAGCCCCAUGUUGAGUA
rnacentral:tRNA from 1 species